AUUGAACGCUGGCGGCAGGCCUAACACAUGCAAGUCGAGCGGAUGAAGGGAGCUUGCUCCUGGAUUCAGCGGCGGACGGGUGAGUAAUGCCUAGGAAUCUGCCUGGUAGUGGGGGAUAACGUCCGGAAACGGGCGCUAAUACCGCAUACGUCCUGAGGGAGAAAGUGGGGGAUCUUCGGACCUCACGCUAUCAGAUGAGCCUAGGUCGGAUUAGCUAGUUGGUGGGGUAAGGGCCUACCAAGGCGACGAUCGGUAACUGGGCUGAGAGGAUGAUCAGUCACACUGGAGCUGAGACACGAUACAGAAUCCUACGGGAGGCAGCAGUGGGGAAUAUUGGAAAAUGGGCGAAAGCCUGAACCAGCCAUGCCACGCGUGUGAAGAAGGUCUGCGGAUGGUAAAGCACUUUAAGGUGGGAGGAAGGGCAGUAAGUUAAUACCUCGCUGUUUUGACGUUACCAGCAGAGUAAGCACCGCCGAACUUCGU
rnacentral:rRNA from 1 species